GGGCUAUGGUGUUGGAUAUACAUCUAGAUUUGGUUCCUAUGUGCGGAAGAUGGAGGCCAUUCCCUGGCAGUGUGAGCCAUCAGAUUUAGAUCUCCUCUGCCAUUCCAUUUAAUCUGAAGCCUACUCUUUAUACAGAGUGGUCUCCAUCUCUUGCUCUGUAUUUGAACAUCAACUGAUCAACACAAGACAUUUAAGGCUUUCAUGGUCAACCAUUUUAAGAUUGA
rnacentral:lncRNA from 1 species